UUAAGUUCAGCGGGUAGUCCUACCUGAUUUGAGGUCAAAUUGAGAUGUCUUGUCCCGGAGGACGGUUGGAAGCGGAAUUUUCACCCCACCACAGCGCAACAGGAUUAUCACACUGGGACGAGCUUUCUUCUCCGCUGAUGCAUUUAAAGAGGAGCCGACCUUCGCCAGCACGCUCCAAGUCCAAUCCCCCCGAAGCAAAU
rnacentral:misc_RNA from 1 species